GGAAACCGUUACGAUUGUGUUUUGGCUGUCAAGUUAAUGUGCUUGGUUAUUUAAAUUCCGUACAAAAUUUCUCCUAAAAUAAGUGACAAAAAUGGCGCAGCCAUCCGUUUUGAAUUACUUCAACAACAGAAAACGUCCUGCACAUCAGGAUUCGAAAAUUAACGUAGCCAGAAAAGUAUUAAUGUUAGACUCGAAGGAAUCGAUCUGUCUACCUCAGAGCGAUGGUACCGAUAGGAUGGUGAGAUUAGUCGAAUCACAGACAAUUGUUAAAUCUACAAGAAGCACUCGUGAAGUUAAGUCAACGAAACGAUCGGCAACACCGAAAGCAAAAAAAUCUAAACCGAUCGUUAAUACGGGACAUAUCGAAACAUUUGUCUGUAAUAUGGGAAAGAAUUCCGUAACCGUUCCCAAUCCUGAAGUACGGGAACUUGAUAGUCCGAAGGAAACAAUAUCUACAUUUGAGCUACCGAAGACUCCCACUAAAAGUACAAAUGCUUUAGAUAAACUAAAGCUUACAGGUAACGAACCCACACUUUCGGAACUGAAGCAAAAAUUGAGUCGAAGCUCACGUUUGGCAGAACUGAAAGCGUCAAUAUCUCGCUUUAAAGAAUGCGAAAAGAAAUUAGCGGCGGCGGAAGAAAAGACCGUUGCAUUGAAGAACUUCAAGUCUAUCGAACUGGAAGUGAAUGUAAGCCCGUCCAAGCCGCAGUCACCUCUUAAGAGUUAUCUUAGUCCCAAAAAAGACACUUCAUCCGUGUGUAGAAACUUAUUCAAUGCCCAAAGCCCAACGAAAGCCGUGUUAGAGCCGUCAAGCCCAUCUAAGACAAUCUCUUCCGCCACCAGCUCUCUUACUUUACCCUACAAAUAUCGCAAAAUUGCGGAAAUAUUUCGUAGCAUCGAUACAAUAUGCCAGAUUAUGUAUAAUCGCAAAGAGUCAAUCACCUUUAAGAAACUUAAACCGAGUGUUGAAGUGAUGCUGAAGCAGAAUCUAAAUGAGCAUCACUUGGAGCAAAUAAAGCAUUUGUAUCCCGAAGCGUUUACAUUUCAUCAAGAGAAAUUGCGCGAAUUUGGUACAGGCACACGAAAAGAGGCAUGGGAAUUGAUAUUGUUGCCGAAGUUGGAUGAACCUACAAUGAAACCGUCGGCUCUCUUAGAAAGGCGAAGAAAGCUGUUUUCCAUUUUAAUGGAAAAGGUCAAAGACUAUCACGACGAAUUUCUCAUGACUUUGGACCCCCCAAUGAAAGUGGAACGGGACAACAUCAAGCGUUGGCAUCCGCUUUUUGAUAUCGAAAAAGUGCCCGACAUUGAAAGGUCACCUCUACCUCAGCCGCCUCGCGACGAGGAGCUCACCACCGGUAGUCAAGUGCUGGAGAAGGCGCGUGCUCUUUUUAACUGUAAGACGCGUUUGGAACGCGCCUUGGAAAAUUAUCAAGGUUCGCCGACCAUUCAGCCCGAAGUACGUGAGGAAUCCGUCUUGAAGGGUAUUCCGAAAGCACUAUUGGAGAAAGUACGCCAGCGGCAGGCGGCGAAGGCGCUACAAUUAAUGACCAGAUCUGUCGACAAGGAGAAAGAAAUUCAGUUAUACACGCGCCUUCCCGAAAUAGCAAGACUGAUACGUAACAUAUUCGUAACUGAUAAGAAAAAUGUGAUGCCAAUCGAAGCGCUUACGGAAAAAUUGUGGAGCUCCGCUUCUAGUAUUAUAACAAAAUCAGACGUCGAGGCCAGCAUACAGGCGAUUGCUAAAGAGGAGAAAGAGUGGAUGACUGUAGAAACUGUACGGGGUAGUACAUACGUAAGGAUCAUGAAAUAUCAGGACAUAAAUUUGAUUAUGGGUAGGCUGCAGAAAUUGGCUGAUCAGAAAAAGACGUAAUUAGAUUAUAAUAGUACAACUUAGAUAAAUUAUCACCCUUACUGUUGAGUGAAGGAACAUGUCAGGUAAUUAAAUAAAAUUGCUGUGUAACUCACCUGGAUGCCCGGUAUGAACCACCAAAAGGAAUUUCAAGGCUACUACCUAUUAAAAUAAAUUAAACUGUCACCCCGUUAUUCAUCACUCAAAAUGACUUCAAAAUCCCCCAAUAACUAGAAAUUAUCACUUGGCUUGCCCAAACUAAGGUGAAACACCAAAUUUACUGGGUUCAUAAACACACGUGACAACAUUUUUUUAAAAUUUCCUACAGCCCUGAAACAAACUUAAUCAUCAAACACAGACGAAAACAGAAAAAUGCCACCCAUCUCGCUGUCUUAACACUUGCUGGUGCCUGUCCUCCGGACGUGUUUUUUGUAUACACAACAAUCUUGGUCAAUCUUCACUGUUGAUUACAUUUUUCGGUUAAUUAACUUCACACUCUAUUAUAAAUUUUGACCUGAAACGCGAAAUCACGAAUCUUUCUUUCUUCAAUCCACAUUUCGUAAAACACACAUUCCCGAAAAACAC